rnacentral:tRNA from 1 species
GGUGUAGCGGUUAGCACUCAGGACUCUGAAUCCUGCGACCCGAGUUCAAAUCUCGG